CAAAGAAGAUACCAUGUCUGCCUGAUCGUCACCUUUUGGUGAUGGCCAGGAGGAAAGUCCGAACACCAUAGGGCAGGAUACUUCCUAACGGGAAGUCUCGGUAACGGGAAGCCAGCUCCACAGAAACAAACCGCUCCAGACUGGCUCUGGAGUAAGGGUGAAACGGUAGUGUAAGAGACUACCAGAUUCCGGGGUGACUCGGGAUGCUCGGAAAGCCUUAUCCGGUGCAAUGCCAAAUAGGAAAGUAGUGUUGGCAUGCCAACGCAGAGUGGCCCGCUUUGUAUUACUUUCGGGUGGGCAGCUACAACCGGUCGCAUAGCGAGUUCGAUAGAACAUAGCAAUAUCCGGGGUAGAGAAAUAGACAUAGGGCUGUUUAUUAGACAGUUCACAGAAUUCGGCUUAUGAUCUUCUUUGACCA
rnacentral:RNase_P_RNA from 1 species